AGCGAACGCUGGCGGCAGGCUUAACACAUGCAAGUCGAGCGGGCCUUUCGGGGUCAGCGGCGGACGGGUGAGUAACGUGUGGGAACGUGCCCUCUGGUUCGGAAUAACUCAGGGAAACUUGAGCUAAUACCGGAUACGCCCUUUUGGGGAAAGGCUUGCUGCCGGAGGAUCGGCCCGCGUCUGAUUAGCUAGUUGGUGAGGUAACGGCUCACCAAGGCGACGAUCAGUAGCUGGUCUGAGAGGAUGAUCAGCCACACUGGGACUGAGACACGGCCCAGACUCCUACGGGAGGCAGCAGUGGGGAAUAUUGGACAAUGGGCGCAAGCCUGAUCCAGCCAUGCCGCGUGAGUGAUGAAGGCCUUAGGGUUGUAAAGCUCUUUUAUCCGGGACGAUAAUGACGGUACCGGAGGAAUAAGCCCCGGCUAACUUCGUG
rnacentral:rRNA from 1 species